rnacentral:piRNA from 1 species
UAUUUUCUUAUGAAAACUUCG